rnacentral:rRNA from 1 species
UACGUAGGGGGCGAGCGUUGUCCGGAUUUAUUGGGCGUAAAGAGCUCGUAGGCGGCUGUUCGAGUCGGGUGUGAAACCCCAGGGCUUAACUCUGGGCCUGCAUUCGAUACUGGGCGGCUUGAGUCUGGUAGGGGGAUCUGGAAUUCCUGGUGUAGCGGUGGAAUGCGCAGAUAUCGGGAGGAACACCAGUGGCGAAGGCGACUACCUGGCCUGUUCUUGACGCUGAGGCGCGAAAGCUAGGGGAGCAAGCAGG